UUUUCUUCAAACUUUAGGAAUUUAGGAAGUAGUGGUAACUAGUAGGUUUACAUUCACUUAGGAUAGGAAAUACAGAGUUUCAAAACAUGCAGUAAUUAUCACAUGACUGUGUGUCUAAAUACACACCCGUGUUAUAUUGCAUAGAGCAGAGAAAACGGGUGUGGCUUAUGCCACAACCAUUUAUGAAAACUCACUGCACCUUCGAUACAGUCGUCUGUCAAGUGCACACGCCUGUGCUUUUCUUGCACAAGCAAGCAACAGUCAUGGCUUAAGCCAUAGUUGUUUAUGUAAUUUUUGAAUCAAAGACACAACCAUGUC
rnacentral:lncRNA from 1 species